AUCAGUGUGCUCCCACAGAAGCUAGGCUCAUGGCUGGCGGGCGCAAUGGUGGUGGCAAGAGCCUCUCCACCUCCACCACAGUGCUAAGGAGCAGUGAGCCUAGCAGAAAGGAGUAGCGAGCAAGGGGGCAGUAAGGAGUGAGAGGUCCUGGACUGCCAGAGGGAUGUCUGACUGAGGGCUUAGGGGAGCAGGCCUAAGUCAUCGGUCGGACAUCCCCUGAGGGCUCCCAGUCUGGGAGAGGGCUCAGUCCAGGCUGAAAGACGCCCCCCCCCCCAAGUUCACAAAUUUCAUGCACUAGGCCUCUAGUACAGUUAUAAAAACACCUUUGUGAUAUGAAGUAAAAAGGUGUGUUUCCUUUCUUGGUGGCCUUUGUUGAACAUGGGGAUCAUUGAUCUUAGAGCUGGGAGGCUGUCAGACAUUAGUGCAGCCCUCUUUUAAUCAGAAGAGAAAUCUGCUAAUGUCAGCUUGCAACCUCAGUGUCAGAGCCAGGUUUUCUAACACUGCCCUAGUGCUCUCUCCAUUGUAACCUUUCUAAAUGUUCUUUUAGGAAUGUGAGAGGCACUUUGACUUGGCAAAUUACUAUAGUAGACAGUUGAACAGAUACCUCAGAUAGAUGAGGGAAAUUCCAAAUUCCAUUCAAGAUAUCCUUCAAAGGUUUUUCUUCCUUACUGAUGACCUCUUUAAUUAGAAAGAAACUGCUGACUCAACUUUUCUCUCAUCACCAUUGUGAAACCAGAUAGCUCUGGCAAUUCCUCCUUUCUCACCAUUAUUUUCCUCUCAUGGUUCAAAACUCUAGCAAUAUGUAAAUUAAAAAUAAGCAAUUCUUAAAAGCACAGUGCUCUAAAAACAAUUUUUAGCCCUAGCUGGUUUGGCUCAUGCAGGAAGCAGCCAAUCAAUGGUUCUCUCUCAUCAUUGAUGUUUCUAUCACUCUCCCUCUCUGAAAUAAAAAUAUUUUAAAAAGAAAGAAAAAAAUAAGUAAAAAUAAUUUUUAGUUGACAUACUUAAAAGUAGUGUAAUUCACAAAAUUCACCUGGUUGUAUUUGAAUGCCAAUAUAAUUCUCAUUAGGGUAAGAAGGUUUUACAGAAUAAUAUCAGAAGGAACAAUCCUCUUAAGGAGUUGUCAAUGAUAACUUUUAUCAAGCAUCUAGUUUCAGUAUAUAAGGUAGAAUUAAUAAACUGCUAAAGAAAUAAGCCAAUCUGGUUUUAUGCUUUUGGUUUUUUUUUAGAAGUGCUUGUAAACUUACAGCCACUGGUCAAAAUACUAAUAAUUACUUAAGUUCUAACUUUAGAAAUUGUAUUUCCCUCUGGCCCAAUACUAUAUAGUAAAGUGGCAAAAUUCCAAAAUAUAAGCAUGUACCAUGUGAAAAUUAUAAAUGACUGAAACAAAAUAAGAGCUCUAAACAAAUUGCAUUGCUUUUAUAAAUCUGGAACUGAAAUUUUUUUCUCUUCAAAUGAGAAUAUAGAAGUUGAGUGUUUUUAUUUGAGAUAUUAUCUUAUUCAGACAGUGUUAUAUACAUCCUCAUUUUUAGGUACUCUAGAACCUUUCCUAUGUGUUUGCCACCAGGGAAGGGAAAAAGAAGGAAAUACAAAGUAUAAUUUGUGUGUAUAUUUUUUCUGAAAAUACAUGUUUUUGCAUACUGCUUUUCCUUUAAAAUUUAAAUUACAAAUGUAUUAUAUGGCAUUUGACUUGUAAAAACAUCAGAGACAGUUCUAUAUUUUUACAUUGACCUUCAAUCUCAAUACCCCCUCUAGAAGUAACAAUUUUUGACUUUCCAUCUAUACCUUUUUUUAUACCUUUUUCUAUGAAUGCAUAUAGAUGUUAUGUAUAGCCACAUGAAAUAAAAUGUGUGUAAUUCUUGUUUUUUACAUAUAUGUGUAUCAUUUAGCAA